ACGGGUGAGUAACGCGUGGUCAACCUUCCGUUGAAUGGGGGAUAACUAGCCGAAAGGUUAGCUAAUACCGCAUACAUCUUUUGAAGGCAUCUUUAAAAGAUGAAAGGAGCAAUUCGUUCAACGACGGGACCGCGUCCCAUUAGCUAGAUGGUGGGGUAAUGGCCUACCAUGGCGACGAUGGGUAGCUGGUUUGAGAGAGCGACCAGCCACACUGGGACUGAGAAACGGCCCAG
rnacentral:rRNA from 1 species